rnacentral:siRNA from 1 species
GAAGUGUUACCCACCAACAUAGCA